UCAGGAAACUAACCAAGGCUGUGAAGGAGC
rnacentral:piRNA from 1 species